rnacentral:rRNA from 1 species
UACGUAGGGGGCAAGCGUUGUCCGGAAUUAUUGGGCGUAAAGGGCGCGUAGGCGGUUUUAUAAGUCGGGGGUGAAAGCCUGUGGCUCAACCACAGAAUUGCCUUCGAUACUGUAGAGCUUGAGACCGGAAGAGGUAAGUGGAACUGCGAGUGUAGAGGUGAAAUUCGUAGAUAUUCGCAAGAACACCAGUGGCGAAGGCGGCUUACUGGUCCGGUUCUGACGCUGAGGCGCGAAAGCGUGGGGAGCAAACAGG